rnacentral:rRNA from 1 species
GACGAACGCUGGCGGCGUGCUUAACACAUGCAAGUCGAACGGAAAGGCCCUGCUUUUGUGGGGUGCUCGAGUGGCGAACGGGUGAGUAACACGUGAGUAACCUGCCCUUGACUUUGGGAUAACUUCAGGAAACUGGGGCUAAUACCGGAUAGGAGCUCCUGCUGCAUGGUGGGGGUUGGAAAGUUUCGGCGGUUGGGGAUGGACUCGCGGCUUAUCAGCUUGUUGGUGGGGUAGUGGCUUACCAAGGCUUUGACGGGUAGCCGGCCUGAGAGGGUGACCGGCGACAUUGGGACUGAGAUAGGGCCCAGACGCCUACGGGAGGCAGCAGUGGGGAAUAUUGCACAAUGGGCGGAAGCGUGAUGCAGCAACGCCGCGUGCGGGAUGACGGCCUUCGGGUUGUAAACCGCUUUCGCCUGUGACGAAGCGUGAGUGACGGUAAUGGGUAAAGAAGCACCGGCUAACUACGUG